rnacentral:rRNA from 1 species
GACGAACGCUGGCGGCGUGCCUAAUACAUGCAAGUUGAGCGCUGAAGGUUGGUACUUGUACCAACUGGAUGAGCAGCGAACGGGUGAGUAACGCGUGGGGAAUCUGCCUUUGAGCGGGGGACAACAUUUGGAAACGAAUGCUAAUACCGCAUAAAAACUUUAAACACAAGUUUUAAGUUUGAAAGAUGCAAUUGCAUCACUCAAAGAUGAUCCCGCGUUGUAUUAGCUAGUUGGUGAGGUAAAGGCUCACCAAGGCGAUGAUACAUAGCCGACCUGAGAGGGUGAUCGGCCACAUUGGGACUGAGACACGGCCCAAACUCCUACGGGAGGCAGCAGUAGGGAAUCUUCGGCAAUGGACGAAAGUCUGACCGAGCAACGCCGCGUGAGUGAAGAAGGUUUUCGGAUCGUAAAACUCUGUUGGUAGAGAAGAACAUUGGUGAGAGUGGAAAGCUCAUCAAGUGACGGUAACUACCCAGAAAGGGACGGCUAACUACGU